rnacentral:rRNA from 1 species
UCUAACACGUGCGCGAGUCGCAGGGUGGUACGAAACCCGGAGGCGCAACGAAAGUGAACCGUUUCUUACGAAUCGGUAGGUGGGAUCCCGGACUCCUUCGCGGGACGAUGGGCGCACCACCGGCCUGUCUCGGCCGCGACGUCGGCGAGGCGGAGCAAGAGCGUACGCGUUGGGACCCGAAAGAUGGUGAACUAUGCCUGAGCAGGACGAAGCCAGAAGAAAUUCUGGUGGAGGUCCGCAGCGAUUCUGACGUGCAAAUCGAU